rnacentral:rRNA from 1 species
CCCUACGGGAGGCAGCAGUGAGGAAUAUUGGUCAAUGGUCGAAAGACUGAACCAGCCAUGCCGCGUGCAGGAUGAAUGUUUUAUGAAUUGUAAACUGCUUUUCUACAGGAAGAAACGUACCUACGUGUAGGUAUUUGCCGGUACUGUAGGAAUAAGCACCGGCUAACUCCGUGCCAGCAGCCGCGGUAAUACGGAGGGUGCAAGCGUUUUCCGGAUUUAUUGGGUUUAAAGGGUGCGUAGGCGGAACUUUAAGUCAGUGGUGAAAUCCUGCGGCUCAACCGUAGAACUGCCAUUGAUACUGAAGUUCUUGAAUGCAGUUGAGGUAGGCGGAAUGUGUAAUGUAGCGGUGAAAUGCUUAGAUAUUACACAGAACACCGAUUGCGAAGGCAGCUUGCUAAACUGUGAUUGACGCUGAUGCACGAAAGCGUGGGGAGCGAACAGGAUUAGAUACCCUGGUAGUCCACGCUUAAACGAUGAUCACUCGUUGUGUGCGAUAUAUUGUAAGCGACUGAGCGAAAGCAUUAAGU